CCAGAUGGAGGUUCCAGUUCAGGAAAAUAUUAAAACAGAGAUUUCAAAGGGACUUCAUAAAAUGCUUGAAGUGAUAUUUUAAUGUAAUAACAAGAGAUUUGGAAAUAAAUCACCAAAGCUAUAAAACUCAUAUAUGCAUGUCCCAUGCUGAUUGUAACACAACUUGUUUACCAAGGAAGAGGAAGUCUUGCUUACAUGGCAGAAAGCAAGGGGAAAAGAGUUUCUCUUUGUCAUUUACUAGACAGACCUGCCAGUGACAAAUAAAUGCUGGCAGCACGAAGCAACUGUUGUGACACAGCCUGUCAGGCAAGUAAAUCUGGGCCUUGGGCUUUCACCACUUUGGGCUCCUGGUGACAGGUGUCCAAGUGGCUGCUGCCUGACUAGUCUGCUUGUAUCCAUAAAACCUCACACCACUAAGUCACAGCAAAGAGACUUGACAUCCAGUGAGAACCUGUAACAAGACUAAUACAGA